UUUGCAUGUAAAAAAGAAUACUGACCACAGUGGCUAAGCCAAAGAGUGGCUCAUUUUUCUGAUGUAACCGUCUGGAGGUGGUCAGUCCGGGGCUUAUGUAGCUGCUCAUGGAUGUUGCCAAGGACCCAGGACCUUCCAGCUUCCUGCUCUACCAUCAUCAGACCCGGUGCUCGUCUUCUUCAUUGAAUGGCUGUUCCACCUCCAUGACCACAUCUGUGUUCUAUGCUGGAAAUAGAAGAAAAUAGCGAAGGGCUAUAAGGAUGAACUAGGCUGACCUUUUGCAAAGCCACAACAAUCCACACUCCCGGGGGAGCACAGGACGGUCUACCACACGCUCAGAGUAGCCAAUUCUUGGCGGACUCUCAACCACUGCGCCACCACGGAAGCCCCUGUUGAGCACGUUUAAAAAAUGGUACAGAACAGAAAAGAAUGGAACAGACCAGAGUGCAUUGUGUGCCGUGACGGAUUACAGAAAGUGAGAUUGAGAAACCCUCUUUCCUCAGUUGGUCCAGGAUCAACCAACUUUCCACUCUACAAGCGCUACCUGGCGGCAUCUCUGUCUUCUGUGAUAAAUUAAAAUCACUUAACAACCCUGGGCCCAAAGCGG